rnacentral:rRNA from 1 species
AGAUUGAACGCUGGCGGCAUGCCUUACACAUGCAAGUCGAACGGCAGCACGGGGGCAACCCUGGUGGCGAGUGGCGAACGGGUGAGUAAUGCAUCGGAACGUGCCCAGUAGUGGGGGAUAACUAGUCGAAAGAUUAGCUAAUACCGCAUACGACCUAUGGGUGAAAGCGGGGAUUCGCAAGACCUCGCGCUAUCGGAGCGGCCGAUGUCUGAUUAGCUAGUUCGGACGGGUAAACGCCCACAAGGCUUCGAUCGAGUAGCUGUCUGAGAGGACGACCAG